CUACAUCUACGGAGGUCUUCUACAUCUAGUUCUACAUCUACGGAGGUGUUCUACAUCUACGGAGGUCUUCUACAUCUACGGAGGUCUUCUACAUCUAGUUCUACAUCUACGGAGGUGUUCUACAUCUACGGAGGUCUUCUACAUCUACGGAGGUCUUCUACAUCUAGUUCUACAUCUACGGAGGUGUUCUACAUCUACGGAGGUCUUCUACAUCUACGGAGGUCUUCUACAUCUAGUUCUACAUCUACGGAGGUCUUCUACAUCUACGGAGGUCUUCUACAUCUACGGAGGUCUUCUACAUCUACGGAGGUCUUCUACAUCUACGGAGGUCUUCUACAUCUACGGAGGUGUUCUACAUCUAGUUCUACAUCUACGGAGGUCUUCUACAUCUACGGAGGUGUUCUACAUCUACGGAGGUCUUCUACAUCUACGGAGGUCUUCUACAUCUAGUUCUACAUCUACGGAGGUGUUCUACAUCUACGGAGGUGUUCUACAUCUACGGAGGUGUUCUACAUCUAGUUCUACAUCUACGGAGGUCUUCUACAUCUACGGAGGUCUUCUACAUCUACGGAGGUCUUCUACAUCUACGGAGGUCUUCUACAUCUACGGAGGUCUUCUACAUCUACGGAGGUCUUCUACAUCUACGGAGGUCUUCUACAUCUAGUUCUACAUUUACGGAGGUGUUCUACAUCUAGUUCUACGGAGGUGUUCUACAUCUACAGAGGUGUUCUACAUCUAGUUCUACGGAGGUGUUCUACAUCUACGGAGGUGUUCUACAUCUAGUUCUACGGAGGUGUUCUACAUCUAGUUCUACGGAGGUGUUCUACAUCUACAGAGGUGUUCUACAUCUAGUUCUACGGAGGUGUUCUACAUCUACGGAGGUGUUCUACAUCUACGGAGGUGUUCUACAUCUAGUUCUACGGAGGUGUUCUACAUUUACGGAGGUGUUCUACAUCUAGUUCUACAUCUACGGAGGUGUUCUACAUCUAGUUCUACGGAGGUGUUCUACAUCUACGGAAGGUGUUCUACGGAGGUGUUCUACAUCUACGGAGGUGUUCUACGGAGGUGUUCUACAUCUAGAUCUAGAGGGAAAAGGAGAGCGUGUGGUGGGCCUCAGGACUUACUGUUCUCCUGCACCCUGGCCACAAAGCCUGUCAGAGGUAUCUGUGGAGUCAGCUGGGGCAUGGGAGGAGGAGGGGGAGCGAUAGACACUGGAAGCCGCCGCAGGCGCACCGACAGACAGACACCGACAGACAGACACACCGACAGACAGACACACAAACAAAACGAAAUAGAGAAAGCAAGGAUAUAAAGUACACAGAGAUAGUCACCCAGAACAAUAUAGGAAAAUAUUAAAAGAAACAGACAGAAUACCUUCAACCCAAGUAAAUGCAAUAUUCUGCAAGAAUUAAAAGACAAAGCAUGUGUGACAAAGCAUAAAAACAGUCUAUGCUUGUGGUUUUUAGUUCAGAGACAGAGUCUAGAUUCCCCCAGGUAUUUAGUGGUACAGAUUGAGGGAUUAAAAAGGGAUUAGGUUUGAUUGUCGUUGCUAUUUCCUGCUCCUAAUCACAAUCUGAACCAGAUGAUUGUAGUGUCGGGACAUGACCUGAGAGAGGUGCUGUGUGCAACCCUACUAACCCUAGCUCUCAAUCAACCAAGUUACUUUCACAACUAGUGGCGUGAAGAGUGCCACCAAUCUUAAAAAUAACCUGUAAACCUUAGAGAUCAGCAUCAGGUUUAUAAGGAAUUGGGUGCCAUUUUGAACGCAGUUCAGGUGGAAGAGUGUGUGCAUCUGUCUGUCUGCGUGCUCCUGCCCGCCUGUCUGUCUGCGUGCGUGCGUCUGCCUGUCUGUCUGCGUGCGUCUGCGUGCGUGCGUCUGCCUGUCUGUCUGUCUGCGUGCGUGCCUCUGCCUGUCUGCGUACGACACUGUUAGUGGUUUAAGCUUGAUCUUGAUCUAUAGGCAUUUGAGAUCAACCCCAGGCCCAAGUCAUGAUCUUUACUGAACCAAGCAUGUGACCGCACCUCCAUACACUCCCUCUUUUAAACACCAGACAGUCUUUUACAGGGCAAGUGAAUGAGAAAGGAGAGACCAAUCUCAAUUCAAAAACGCACAGGUGGCUGCUGUAGGCUUGAGUUUCUCACAUUUUAUCCAAAUUCUUUUGGCUUUUCCAGGAAUUAAUGAC